UGACCUCAAAUCAGGUAGGACUACCCGCUGAACUUAAGCAUAUCAAUAAGCGGAGGAAAAGAAACUAACAAGGAUUCCCCUAGUAACUGCGAGUGAAGCGGGAAAAGCUCAAAUUUAAAAUCUGGCAGUCUUUGGCUGUCCGAGUUGUAAUCUAGAGAAGUGUUAUCCGCGCUGGACCGUGUACAAGUCUCCUGGAAUGGAGCGUCAUAGAGGGUGAGAAUCCCGUCUUUGACACGGACUACCAGGGCUUUGUGAUGCGCUCUCAAAGAGUCGAGUUGUUUGGGAAUGCAGCUCAAAAUGGGUGGUAAAUUCCAUCUAAAGCUAAAUAUUGGCGAGAGACCGAUAGCGAACAAGUACCGUGAGGGAAAGAUGAAAAGAACUUUGGAAAGAGAGUUAAACAGUACGUGAAAUUGCUGAAAGGGAAACGCUUGAAGUCAGUCGCGUCGUCCAGGGAUCAACCUUGCUUUUGCUUGGUGCACUUUCUGGUUGACGGGUCAGCAUCAAUUUUGACCAUUGGAAAAAGAUCAAGGGAAUGUGACAUCUUUGGAUGUGUUAUAGCCCUUGGUUGCAUACGAUGGUUGGGAUUGAGGAACUCAGCACGCCGCAAGGCCGGGUUUUUAACCACGUACGUGCUUAGGAUGCU
rnacentral:rRNA from 1 species